AAGCUUCCAUUGCGUGACUAUUAGCCCUAUAUUAAGGGUGCUGGUUUACCAGCUAUGGCGAUAAACGUGCUGUGUAAUAAGCAGAGCGGACCCGGGGGCGGUACCCGGCGCCUCCACCAUAUCAGCUCACCCCUUUAGUUUUAUAAAAUUGGGUCAAUCAGGAGCUGAUAGCAUGGGGGCGAAAUAGGAUCGACGCAUGUAGUAAAGGCAGUAUUUUCGUUCGGUAUGGUACCCACCGUUAUCGGGCCAUGUAGUAGUUGCAAAUGACAACACUGCUCCGGUAGCAAUCGCAGCCUAAGGCAGCGGGAGUAACCGAUCUUAAGUCCAGAUUGAUUGAGCUCAGUUUGGCGGGGUUUGGGGCGCACCUGGCAACAGAAGCGUUCCGCU
rfam:Candidatus Puniceispirillum marinum IMCC1322, complete genome.